rnacentral:rRNA from 1 species
CCUACGGGUGGCAGCAGUGAGGAAUAUUGGUCAAUGGGCGGAAGCCUGAACCAGCCAAGUAGCGUGCAGGAUGACGGCCCUACGGGUUGUAAACUGCUUUUAUACGGGAAUAACGCGUCUUACGGGUAGGGCUGUGCAUGUACCGUAUGAAUAAGGACCGGCUAAUGCCGUGCCAGCAGCCGUGGUAAUACGGAAGGUCCGGGCGUUAUCCGGAUUGAUUGGGGUUAAAGGGAGCGUAGGCCGCAUGUCAAGCGUGCUGUGAAAUGUCCGGGCUCAACCCGGGCCUUGCAGCGCGAACUGGCGUGCUUGAGUCCGCGGAAGGCAGGCGGAAUUCGUCGUGUAGCGGUGAAAUGCUUAGAUAUGACGAAGAACCCCGAUUGCGAAGGCAGCUUGCUGCAGCGGAACUGACGCUGAUGCUCGAAAGCGCGGGUAUCGAACAGGAUUAGAUACCCCAGUAGUC